rnacentral:rRNA from 1 species
UACGUAGGGGGCGAGCGUUGUCCGGAUUUACUGGGCGUAAAGGGUGAGUAGGCGGUUAUAUAUGUCAGGUGUAAAAAGCUAUGGCUUAACCAUAGUAAGCACUUGAAACUGUAUGACUUGAGUGCAGGAGAGGUAAGCGGAAUUCCUAGUGUAGCGGUGAAAUGCGUAGAUAUUAGUAGGAACACCGGUGGCGAAGGCGGCUUACUGGACUGUAACUGACGCUGAGUCACGAAGGCGUGGGGAUCAAACAGGAUUAGAUACCCCCGUAGUCCCUGAG